GCGCCUUCGCGGAGUUGCCAGAGGGUGCGGCCGCCCAGAGCGCGCCCAGAGCGCACCCCGAGCGCCGGCGAGCGGCGCGGUGAGACCCUCGUGCAGGUGAGCCCGGCGCACGGCGGCCCAGAAUCCUGGACCCCAGGAGAAGCGUCUACGGCCCCGACAGGGGGAGUCCCAGUGUCCCAGGGCUGGAGCCAUGCCCCCUACGGAUCAGACACCAAGACCAGGGUCACGCGGGGAGCUGCAGCAGCUGGUGGCCAGUCUGGGUCAGGCUGACCUCUCAGGUGACCUCAUCUGUCUGGUGUCAUUAGACCUGUCGGGGGACCUUGGGGGCCUGAAGCCCAGUAUGUCCCACCCACUGCCAGUCCCCCCGCCCCUCCCGCUGUGGGUCACGCCACCAGGGCAGAGCUGAGCCACUGGCCCACUUGGAGCCAGGACCCCUUUGGCACAGAGGUGGCCCUGGGCCGUCUAGAGAGGGUCCAGGCUUUCCAAGCCCCUCUCCUGCCUGAGCAGCACCACGGGAGGGAGGGAUGGGAGCUGGGAACCUGGGCUUCCCCCUCCUCCCCACACCUGCUGGGCACCCAGCUCCACCUCCAGGCCCAGGUGUGAGGCCCGGGCUCAGCCUGGGAUUGCGGUCGGCUGGCCGGAGUGGGGAGUGGGGAUGGCAGUGAUGCUGGGGGCAGUGGUCUGAGCUGCUGCAGCCUCGGGGCCCCACCCCUGGGGAUUUCCAUGUGACAGACUCGGUGGCAGCUUUCGGGCAGGAGAGGGGGAUGGAAAGUAUGAUGGAAGGUCCCCACAAGGACAAAUAAGGUCUCUCCCCGCUCUGUGUCUCCGCCCGUGUCCCUGCCUCCACACCCUGGGCAUCGCCUGUCUUGGGGUGGAGGCCGAGGCUGCGGGGCUGGGGAGGGGCAGCAGGUGUGGGAUGUGGUUCAGCAGAGUGGGCGGCCCAGGCCGGGGGCAGAAGCUGCCUCCUGGGUUCCAAUCCCUUCUCCCGGCCCCGCAGCAUUUCAGUGCCGGCCCAGGGACGGGCUUAUCCUUUCCCGGUGGCCUCACCUGCUCUCCUGUGACUGGCCCUGGAGGUCACCACGUGGCACUCCUCCUCCAGGAAGCCUUCCCUGGUAGCCUCCCCAACAGCCACUCAGUGGGAACUGCCCCCAGGUCUGGCUUCCCCACGGAGCCAGUUUCAUGGGAAGGAGCUUAGGGCCCCAAGUCCAGCAAGUGCCCAGGACGUGCCUGGCUGGCGAUCCCCCCUUCCCCACAGGCCAGGUGUAGACAGAGGUGUUGCUCACUGCUGGGUGGCCCUGCACAGAUCAUCUGAGCUCCUGAGCCUCCCCGAACCAGCGUGUAGGCCCUGGGGCACCAUGAGGUUGGAAGGGGGCCGACCUCAUGGGCUCUCGUCUAGAGGUGAAGACACGGGGACAGAGUGAACGCAAAUGUGGGGGCGCUGCCUGCCGUUAUCAGCACGGAAUGCAGAAGCAGGGACAGGGAUAGGGCUGCGGGGCCAGCCCAGGAGGACCCCUCUGGAGGUGUGUGCCGUGCCUCAUGGGGCAGGCCAAGGUGGCCAGUCAGGCCGGGGUGGACAGAACUUUGCGUUUCCCGAGAGCCGUAGAGGCCGACACUGAGCCGUAAGCAGCUCUGACGUGCAAUUCCUGAGAGUCCCCUGUCUGCCGUGGCUUGGCUGUGGGGUCAGAGUUGGGCAGAACGGAACCAAUAGUCCUGGCAGGCCCAGGCGGUUGGAGGAGAAGUGGUCGGCUCUGGACACCUUUGUUGUUUUUUGUUUUUUGUUUUGAGAUGGCGUCUCGCUGUGUCACCCAGGCUGGAGUGCACUGGCGCGGUCUUGGCUCACUGCAACCUCCACCUCCCGGGUUCAUGCAAUUCUCCUGCCUCAGCCUCCGGAGUAGCUGGGAUUACAGGUGUAUGCCACCAUGCCUGGCUAAUUUUUGUAUUUUUAGUAGAGACGGAGUUUCACCAUGUUGGCCAGGCUGGUCUUCAACUUCUGACUUCGUGAUCCACGCUGCUGGGAUUACAGGUGUGAGCCACCGCGUGUGGCCUCUGGGCACCUUUUGAAGGUGGUUUCACCCCAACGUCAGCAGGGUGGAGGCAGAGAAGCUGUUCCUAUCCAGAGGUCAGCGUGGGGACUUCCUUGCCAGGCCCAGCGAGAGCAGCCCGGGGGACUUCACGCUGUCCGUCAGGUGGUACCACGGGCGCCUGUCUGGCAAGGAGGCUGAGAAGCUGCUGCUGCAGAAGGGGCGUCCGGGCAGCUUCCUGGUGCACGUGAGUCAGAGCGAUCCUGGAGGCUUCCCGCUGUCAGCACUGACGCAAGGGUGGGACGAGGCGCAGGGCGCAGGCCGCCAGCCACAGGUCACGCACAUAUGACUCACUCCCAGGUGGGAGGGGGCGGCAAGCUGGGGCGGCCUCUGGGAAGGGCGGGCGGCCUUGGCCAGGCCCCUCACCGCCACCCCCAUGGCCGGACGAGAAGUGGUGGGAGACGGGGAGCGUUUUGACACCCUCGGAGACCCGGUGGAGCAGGAAGAGCCCGAUGGUGGGGAAGGUGGGGUUGUGUACCUCAAGCAGGUAAAAGCCCCUCCACAGGCACCAGGGCCGUGGGCACAGCCUCACCCAGGAAAGCAGCUGGGGGUCCACUGGGCUCAGGGAAGACCCCCUGCCAGGGAGACCCCAGGCGCCUGAAUGGCCACGGGAAGGAAAACCUACCAGCCCCUCCGUGUGUCCUCCUGGCACAUGGUGACCUCCAUGACCCGACGAGGCCCCUCAAGGCCACGAGGAUCAGUGCUCGGAGCCUGGAGGGCUGUGUGCAGGAGUAGCAGGGCCACUGAUGCCAGCGGGAAGGCCAGGCAGGGCUUCUGAGUGGAGUUCAAGGUGCAUCCUGACCACUGCCACCUUCAGACUCUGUCCCCUGGGGCUGAGGCAAGUGCCUGAUGGGAGCGCAGGGUCUGGGACUGUAGGGUCCAGCCCUACGGAGCUUAGCAGGUGUUCUCCCCGUGUGCGGAGAUGAGAGAUUGUAAUAAAUAAGGACCGAAGACAAAGAGAAAACAGCUGGGCCCCGGGGACCACUACCACAAAGACACGGAGACCGGUAGUGGCCCUGAACGGCUGGGCGCGCUGAUAUUUAUUGCAUACAAGACAAGGGGGCAGGAGAAGGAGGGUCAAUCUUCUAAGUGAUUGACAAGUGAAACAAGUCACGUGAUCACAGGACAGCGGGCCCUUCCCUCUUAGGUAGCUGAAGCAGAGAGAGAAGGCGGCAUACCUCAGCGUUUUCUUCUAUGAACUUAUAAGAUCAAAGACUUUAAGACUUUCACUAUUUCUUCUACCGCUAUCUACUACGAACUUCAAAGAGGAACCAGGAGUACGGGAGGAGCAUGAAAGUGGACAAGGAGUGUGAGCAUUGAAGCACCACAGGGAGGGGUUCAGGCCUCCGGAUGACUGCGGGCAGGCCUGGAUAACAUCCAGCCUCCCACAAGAAGCUGGUGGAGCAGAGCGUUCCCUGACUCCUCCAAGGAAAGGAGACUCCCUUUCGCGGUCUGCUAAGUAACGGGUGCCUUCCCAGACAUUGGUGUUACCGCUUGACCAAGGGGCCCUCAAGCGGCCCUUAUGCAGGUGUGACAGAGGGCUCACCUCUUGCCUUCUAUUCCCUUCUCACAAUGUCCCUUCAGCACCUGACCCUGUACCCACCGGUUAUUCCUAGGUUAUAUUAUUAAUGCAACAGAGUAAUAUUAAAAGCUAAUGAUUAAUAAUGUUUAUAAUAAUGAUGGAUAAUUGUUCAUGAUCAUCACUGUAUCUAAUUUGUAUCAUGACUAUUCUUAUUCUAUUUUCUUUAUUAUACUG